UCGGAUAUGGUGUAACGGCUAACAUUGCCGCCUCUCACCGUUAGGUAGACCGCGGCAGCUCGGGGUUCGAUUCCCCGUAUCCGAA